UCCUCCCUCUGGCGGCGUGCUUAACACAUGCAAGUCGAACGGAAAGGCCCUGCUUUUGUGGGGUGCUCGAGUGGCGAACGGGUGAGUAACACGUGAGUAACCUGCCCUUGACUUUGGGAUAACUUCAGGAAACUGGGGCUAAUACCGGAUAGGAGCUCCUGCUGCAUGGUGGGGGUUGGAAAGUUUCGGCGGUUGGGGAUGGACUCGCGGCUUAUCAGCUUGUUGGUGGGGUAGUGGCUUACCAAGGCUUUGACGGGUAGCCGGCCUGAGAGGGUGACCGGCCACAUUGGGACUGAGAUACGGCCCAGACUCCUACGGGAGGCAGCAGUGGGGAAUAUUGCACAAUGGGCGGAAGCCUGAUGCAGCAACGCCGCGUGCGGGAUGACGGCCUUCGGGUUGUAAACCGCUUUCGCCUGUGACGAAGCGUGAGUGACGGUAGUGGGUAAAGAAGCACCGGCUAACUACGUG
rnacentral:rRNA from 1 species